CCCUUAGAUGUCCGGGGCCGCACGCGCGCUACACUGAAGGAAUCAGCGUGGCUUUCUCCCUGACCCGAAAGGGUUGGGAAACCCGUUGAAUCUCCUUCGUGAUAGGGAUUGGGGCUUGAAAUUGUUCCCCAUGAACGAGGAAUUCCCAGUAAGCGCGAGUCGUAAGCUCGCGUUGAUUACGUCCCUGCCCUUUGUACACACCGCCCGUCACUACUACCGAUUGAACGGUUUAGUGAGGGCCUCGGAUUGGUCUCGGCCCGCUCUUUACCGGGCGGCGCCGUUGGUCGAGAAGACGCUCGAACUUGAUCGUUUAGAGGAAGUAAAAGUCGUAACA
rnacentral:rRNA from 1 species